ACCCAUUACUUUUUUUCUUACAGACUUCUUUCUGCAACAAGACAUACAGAACCUGAGCUUCAUUAAGUCCUGGAUUCAGGGACAAGAUGGCAAAGUAGAAGGAUUGAGCUCAAUCCUCGUGAGCACACCAAAAGUACAACUAAUUGCUGAACAACCAUCAAUAAAAAGACCAGAACCUACCAAAAAUAUAUUCUACAUCCAAAGACAUAAAGAAGAAACCCAAUGAAAUGGUAAGAGGAAUGCACGCAGGAUAUAAUCAAACCUUAUGCUCCCCAGGUGGGCAACCCACAUACUGGAAAACAAUUACAUCACAGAAGUUCUCCCACAAGAGAGUUCUGAACCUCACAGCAGGUUCCCCAACCUGGAGGGUCUGAUAUCAGGAAGAGGAACCCCCAGAACAUGUGGCUCUGAAGCCAAUGGGGCUUGAGCACAGGAGCUCCACUGGACUGGGGGAAACAGACUCUACUCUUGGAGGGUGUAUGCCAGGUCUUGGGUGCACUGAGACCCACAGCAAAAGCACUGACCUCAGGAAAGCCUGGGCCAGACCUACCUGCUGGUCUUGGAGCGUCUUCUGGAAGGCAGGGUGGCUGUGGCUCACUGUGGGGACAGUGACACUGGCAGCAGAGGUCCUGGGUGAUAGUCAUCAGCUUUAGCUUUCCAGGAGGCUCCAGUGCUGGGACACCUUGGGCCAAACAACAAACAAGACAGGAAUACAGCCUCACCCAGCAGCAGACAGCUUGCCCAAAGACUCUCUGAGAUAGCCCUCUAGAAAUGCCCCUUGACCUGGCUGGCCCUGCUCACCAGAUAGCCAAGACACCGCUCCACCCACCAAUGAGUGGUAUUGGUCACUCCCACCGGGAAGCCCACACAAGCCUCUAGACCAGCCUUCCCAACCAGGGGGCCUACAUCAGCAGGAAGGAAAUUACAAUCUGGGCAGCCCAAUGAACUGAGUCUACAAAAGCAGACCAGAACCUUCCUGGGGAGUGUACAGCUGGGACACAUAGGUCAUCCCCCACAGAGAGCCAGUUCUCCAGGGUCAAGAAACAUAAAUAACCUUCUAUGUACA
ensembl:lncRNA